UCUGGAGGAUGGUGAUGGUGCGAGAAGCAGGGAGCUGGGUUCUCUGCUCAAUCCCGGCUCUUGUCUGGGAGCGCUGUCCCAGGCCUGGUGAUAUCAGGAGGUGACAGAUACCAGCAAACGAGGUGCCAGCACUUCAAGCAGCUGCUACCAAUCAAUACGACAUACCACGAAGAAUGGGCCGUAUCUGCCACCUGCGUGGGGUUUCCUCUGGUACCAUCAGGAAUAUCACAUACCUGUUUCUCAAAGGCGGUGGGGACCAAGCGUCGCAA